UCGAGAUCCAGGUCUUCAAGAUCGGGAAGCGGAACCGGCGCCUCGUCCCCGGUCUCUCCGAGUGCCGACUCCUCGACCAAGCCCACAGCCGGCCUAGAAAAGUACCAGUCAAAUCAUUCUCUGAUAGAAAUUUUCCCAGUCAAAUCAUGUCAAGAUAUCUACGAUGCAACGUGGAGUGACUACUACAGAUUAUAGUCAAAUUAUUUUUUCUCCCAUAUGUUCUGAUGCGUACGAUUUGAAAGCGGAUACGCGCUGAACGGAAACAAAUUACAAAGACGGCACGUGCCCUUACAUUAGAUAUCAUCAACAAGUAGUAAUGCUAGGAUGCUCAGCAACUCUGUGUUGUGUUUCAAAGUUUGGAUGUUCGCGACAUACUGAAUCAUAUUUUUUGAGGAUUUUCCUUAUAUGAACUUUUUAGACAGUGACCAUAUAACAUGUUUGGUGAUUCAAUGGCAGCUAAGUACUCACCUUGAUGUGUUUAUUGUUACCAUAUAACAAUUUCAUGAAUGCGUUAAGUACUCAGCUUGAUGUGUUUCAACCCUCCAUUGUGUAUAUCUAAUGUUUGGUGAUUCAAUGGAAGUAACAUG